rnacentral:rRNA from 1 species
AUGAUCAUCUUGGCUUGGAACUGCCGAGGCUUGGGGUUGGACUCGGCGGUUGGCAAACUACGGGACCUGAUUAGGUCAUACAACCCAGAGGUGGUAUUUUUAUCAGAAACAAAAAAGAGAGCGGGAGCAAUGGAGCGACUCAAGUGGAGUUUGGGGUUCACAAAAGGGGUGGCGGUGGACUGCAAAGGCAAAAUCGGAGGAUUGGCACUAUGGUGGAGGGACCAUCUUGAG